GACGAACGCUGGCGGCGUGCUUAACACAUGCAAGUCGAACGGUAAGGCCCUUCGGGGUACACGAGUGGCGAACGGGUGAGUAACACGUGGGUGAUCUGCCCUGCACUUCGGGAUAAGCCUGGGAAACUGGGUCUAAUACCGGAUAGGACUCCGGACUGCAUGGUCUGGGGUGGAAAGCUUUUGCGGUGUGGGAUGGGCCCGCGGCCUAUCAGCUUGUUGGUGGGGUGAUGGCCUACCAAGGCGACGACGGGUAGCCGGCCUGAGAGGGUGACCGGCCACACUGGGACUGAGAUACGGCCCAGACUCCUACGGGAGGCAGCAGUGGGGAAUCUUGCGCAAUGGGCGAAAGCCUGACGCAGCAACGCCGCGUGCGGGAUGACGGCCUUCGUGGUUGUAAACCGCUUUCAGCAGGGACGAAAAUGACGGUACCUGCAGAAGAAGCUCCGGCUAACUACGUGCCAGCCGCCGCAGUAA
rnacentral:rRNA from 1 species